CUCUCUUUGUAUAAUAUAAAUAAAGAGUUGGGCCUGCUCGGUGAAACGUUUAACAGCUGCGGUAUUUUAACUGUACUAAGGUAGCAUAAUAAUUUGCCUUAUAAUUUGAGGCUAGAAUGAAUGGUUUGACGAAGGUUAAUCUGUCUCCACUUUAUUUUUUAGAAAUUAAUUUUCAUAGUGAAAAAGCUUGAAUUUUUUAAGGGGACGAGAAGACCCUACUGAGCUUAUAAUUUUAUUAAAACAUAUAUUCAUAUAUAUUGUGUUAUAUAAAUUUUAAUUGGGGUGAUUAAGGAAUAAUAUUAUUAUAUAUGUAACUUCCUUAGAAAUAUUAUAUUGUUGAAUAAAGUAACCGAUAAAUUAAUAUAAUUAUUAUGUAUUGCUUAUAAUAUAGUUACCAUAGGGAUAACAGCGUAAUUUACUUAGAGAGUUCUUAUUGAAAAGUAAGAUUGCGACCUCGAUGUUGGAUUAAAGUAACCUUAAGGUGCAGAAGCUUUAUGGGGUAAAUCUGUUCGAUUUUAACUU
rnacentral:rRNA from 1 species